ensembl:snoRNA
AGGAGGAUUGAGAAAGUUUGUCAGCCAGAUUAUUGCUGCCACAACUGGUUAUUCCCUCCAAGAGCAAUGGCAAACACUGUUUGGACUGUUCUCUGUGUUCAGGCUGUAUGCAGUGUUUUGUCUACACAUG